rnacentral:tRNA from 1 species
AUUUAUGUAGUUUAAUAAAAACAUUACAUUUUCACUGUAAAAAUAAAACUAAUUUUCAUAAAUC